rnacentral:rRNA from 1 species
AAACCGUUCGGGKGUAAACGGACAGAGCCCGUGAAUCCGGGCGACGGAAUUCAGAAUCGACGGCGUUCGCGCGUCGUCGGUUCGAUAUUUCCGUCGCCGACCAUUUACACGGACGUCGCGACCCGUUCGGUGUCGGUCUGCAGGAGACGUGCGAAAGUUCGUGUGCGUUCGCCGGGGUUUCGGCUUCGGCGGGCGUUUCGCGAGUGCGCGUUCUUUUCUGGCCGACUCGCCGGACGGUAUGCGAAGCGGUGAUCGCGGCGGCCUCUCGUCAGCGCCGUCGCGUUACCGGUCUGCRASRAAUCUUCRGGCMCUCUUUCCGA